rnacentral:rRNA from 1 species
GACGAACGCUGGCGGCGUGCUUAACACACGCAAGUCGAACGGUAAGGCCCUUCGGGGUACACGAGUGGCGAACGGGUGAGUAACACGUGGGUGAUCUGCCCUGCACUUCGGGAUAAGCCUGGGAAACUGGGUCUAAUACCGGAUAGGACCUCGGGAUGCAUGUCCUGUGGUGGAAAGCUUUUGCGGUGUGGGAUGGGCCCGCGGCCUAUCAGCUUGUUGGUGGGGGGAUGGCCUACCAAGGCGACGACGGGUAGCCGGCCUGAGAGGGUGACCGGCCACACUGGGACUGAGAUACGGCCCAGACUCCUACGGGAGGCAGCAGUGGGGAAUAUUGCACAAUGGGCGCAAGCCUGAUGCAGCGACGCCGCGUGAGGGAUGACGGCCUUCGGGUUGUAAACCUCUUUCAGCACCGACGAAGCGCAAGUGACGGUAGGUGCAGAAGAAGGACCGGCCAACUACGUGCCAGCAGCCGCGGUAA